UGCAUGGCUGUCGUCAGCUCGUGUCGUGAGAUGUUCGGUUAAGUCCGCUAACGAGCGCAACCCGCGUUGUGUGUUAUAUGUGUCACACAAUACCGCCGGUAUUAAGCCGGAGGAAGGUGCGGAUGACGUCAAGUCAGCAUGACCUUUAUAUCCAGGGCUACACACACGCUACAAUGGACAGUACAACAGGUUGCCAAGCCGCGAGGCGGAGCCAAUCCUCUAAAGCUGUACCUCAGUUCCGGAUUGCAGGCUGCAACUCGCCUGCAUGAAGUUGGAGUUGCUAGUAACCGCAGGUCAGCUAUACUGCGGUGAAUACGUUCCCGGGGAUU
rnacentral:rRNA from 1 species